AUUCCGGGGUACACGAGCGGCGAACGGGUGAGUAACACGUGGGUGAUCUGCCCUGCACUUCGGGAUAAGCCUGGGAAACUGGGUCUAAUACCGGAUAUGACCAAGGACUGCAUGGUUUUUGGUGGAAAGGUUUACUGGUGCAGGAUGGGCCCGCGGCCUAUCAGCUUGUUGGUGGGGUAAUGGCCUACCAAGGCGACGACGGGUAGCCGACCUGAGAGGGUGACCGGCCACACUGGGACUGAGACACGGCCCAGACUCCUACGGGAGGCAGCAGUGGGGAAUAUUGCACAAUGGGCGAAAGCCUGAUGCAGCGACGCCGCGUGAGGGAUGACGGCCUUCGGGUUGUAAACCUCUUUCAGCAGGGACGAAGCGAGAGUGACGGUACCUGCAGAAGAAGCACCGGAUCUACGUGCCAGCAGCCGCGGUAAUACGUAGGGUGCAAGCGUUGUCCGGAAUUACUGGGCGUAAAGAGCUCGUAGGCGGUUUGUCGCGUCGUCUGUGAAAACUCGCGGCUCAACUUCGAGCUUGCAGGCGAUACGGGCAGACUUGAGUACUGCAGGGGAGACUGGAAUUCCUGGUGUAGCGGUGAAAUGCGCAGAUAUCAGGAGGAACACCGGUGGCGAAGGCGGGUCUCUGGGCAGUAACUGACGCUGAGGACGAAAGCGUGGGUAGC
rnacentral:rRNA from 1 species